AGCAGGCGCGCAAAUUACCCACUCCCAGAACGGGGAGGUAGUGACGAAAAAUAACAAUACGGGACUCUUUUGAGACCCCGUAAUUGGAAUGAGUACACUCUAAAUCCUUUAACGAGGAUCCAUUGGAGGGCAAGUCUGGUGCCAGCCGCCGCGGUAACUCCAGCUCCAAUAGCGUAUAUUAAAGUUGUUGCGGUUAAAAAGCUCGUAGUUGGAUCUCAGUUCCAGACGGGUGGUCCGCCUACCGGUGGUUACUGCCUGUUCUGAACAGCCAGCCGGUUUCUCUUGAUGAUCUUCAUCGGUUGUCUUGGGUGACCGGCAAGUUUACUUUGAAAAAAUUAGAGUGCUCAAAGCAGGCGCGACGCCUGAAUAAUGGUGCAUGGAAUAAUGGAAUAGGACCUCGGUUCUAUUUUGUUGGUUUUCGGAACACGAGGUAAUGAUUAAGAGGGACAGACGGGGGCAUUCGUAUUGCGACGCUAGAGGUGAAAUUCUUGGACCGUCGCAGGACGAACUACUGCGAAAGCAUUUGCCAAGAAUGUUUCCAUUAAUCAAGAACGAAAGUUAGAGGUUCGAAGGCGAUCAGAUACCGCCCUAGUUCUAACCAUAAACGAUGCCAGCCAGCGAUCCGGCUGUGUUCCUCAAAUGACACGCCGGGCAGCUUCCGGGAAACCAAAGCUUUUGGGUUCCGGGGGAAGUAUGGUUGCAAAGCUGAAACUUAAAGGAAUUGACGGAAGGGCACCACCAGGAAUGGAGCCUGCGGCUUAAUUUGACUCAACACGGGGAAGCUCACCCGGCUCGGACACAGGAAGGAUUGACAGAUUAAGAGCUCUUUCUUGAUUCUGUGGGUGGUGGUGCAUGGCCGUUCUUAGUUGGUGGAGCGAUUUGUCUGGUUAAUUCCGAUAACGAACGAGACUCUAGCCUACUAAAUAGACGUUCCGAUCACUCUCGUCGGGCGU
rnacentral:rRNA from 1 species